CCAUAGAACUGCUUCCAAAACUGUUUAGCUAGAGUCUGGGAGGGGAAGAUGGAAUUAGUAGUGUAGGGGUAAAAUCCGUAGAGAUUACUAGGAAUACCAAAAGCGAAGGCGAUCUUCUGGAACAGUACUGACGCUGAGGCGCGAAAGCGUGGGGAGCAAACAGGAUUAGAUACCCUGGUAGUCCACGCCCUAAACGAUGAAUGUUAGUCGUCGGGACUCUAGUAGUUUCGGUGAUGCAGUUAACACAUUAAACAUUCCGCCUGGGGAGUACGGUCGCAAGAUUAAAACUCAAAGGAAUAGACGGGGACCCGCACAAGUGGUGGAGCAUGUGGUUUAAUUCGAAGAUACGCGAAGAACCUUACCUAGCCUUGACAUAUUUUAGAACUCCGCAGAGAUGUAGAGGUGCCUUCGGGAGCUAAUAUACAGGUGCUGCACGGCUGUCGUCAGCUCGUGUCGUGAGAUGUUGGGUUAAGUCCCGCAACGAGCGCAACCCUCGUUCUUAGUUACUAACGGUUCGGCCGAGGACUCUAAGAAGACUGUCUUCGUAAGGAGGAGGAAGGUGAGGACGACGUCAAGUCAUCAUGGCCCUUACGGCUAGGGCAACACACGUGCUACAAUGGUUAGGACAAUGAGACGCAAUACCGCGAGGUGGAGCAAAUCUAUAAACCUAAUCUCAGUUCGGAUUGUAGUCUGCAACUCGACUACAUGAAGCUGGAAUCACUAGUAAUCGUAGAUCAGCUAUGGGGCGGUGAAUACGUUCCCGGGUC
rnacentral:rRNA from 1 species